rnacentral:rRNA from 1 species
GAUGAACGCUGGCGGCGUGCCUAAUACAUGCAAGUCGAGCGAACAGAUAAGGAGCUUGCUCCUUUGACGUUAGCGGCGGACGGGUGAGUAACACGUGGAUAACCUACCUAUAAGACUGGGAUAACUUCGGGAAACCGGAGCUAAUACCGGAUAACAUCUUGAACCGCAUGGUUCAAUAGUGAAAGGCGGCUUUGCUGUCACUUAUAGAUGGAUCCGCGCCGUAUUAGCUAGUUGGUAAGGUAACGGCUUACCAAGGCAACGAUACGUAGCCGAACUGAGAGGGUGAUCGGCCACACUGGAACUGAGACACGGUCCAGACUCCUACGGGAGGCAGCAGUAGGGAAUCUUCCGCAAUGGGCGAAAGCCUGACGGAGCAACGCCGCGUGAGUGAUGAAGGUCUUCGGAUCGUAAAACUCUGUUAUCAGGGAAGAACAAAUGUGUAAGUAACUGUGCACAUCUUGACGGUACCUGAUCAGAAAGCCACGGCUAACUACGUG